CCCUACCACUACCAUCCCAGAGGAGGCACGCAUGCCGGCGUACGGAGCCAUCACCAACCGCUCCUCCGCUCCUCUCGCUCUCCAACGCCCACGCGAUGCCGCCUGGAUCGGAGGAAUCGAAGGUCACCGCUCCGCUAUGUUCCGUUUCGGAGCCGAAACAACAAGCAUCCAUGGCCGCUCCGCAACCGAAGGCCAAAGGUGCCGCAUGAACGGCAGGGGAGCUGAAGGCUGAAGGCCGCAGGCGCCGGCCGCCCCGGUGUGAGAGGAAACAGGCGGGUUCUCGGGGACACCCUCAACGUCGUCCAUGGCCCACGUCCUCAACGAGGAAGGAAAUCAGCACAAUGAUCGAAUACCCGAUCGGUUCCAGACCACCCGGCGCGCUCCCCUCACAAGGAUCGAACCUCGUGGCGGCGGGCGAUGGCAGCAGCUCCGCGGUCCUGGUCCGCUCGUCUCAUCGUCCCAUGCGGCUUCGAGGUCACUACGUUCGGCCGUCGGUCCCCCGCGAACAACAUCAUCCACGUCCUCACCGACGCGCGGGGUUCAACAUGGCGCUCGAGACCUCCAGCAUCGCGGAUGACUUCCAGGCCGACGAGCGCGGCACCGGCAUCACCAUCUUCGUCCCCAUCGACGACGCCUUCCCCGGCCUCCCUUCCGGUGCUGCGAUUCCACGUGCUGCACUCCUACUACAGGCUCGGCUCCCUCGAGUCCAUCAAGAACCCCGUCCAGCCCACGUCCUCACCGAAGUGCACCGUGGCCGGCUGCUUCGUGCCUCCAGUUCUAGGUGGAGCAAACAUAAAUGUCGGGGUCGAUGUCGACGGAGCCAUUGAAUCGUGUGAUGUUGAUCCUGAAGCAGCCGGGCUCUGCAAUUGUGACGCUGGACGCUGCAAAGGAGAGGACAUCAUAGCCGGAGUUCGAGUUCGAGACGCAGAGGAGAGGACGCCAUAGCCAAAGUUGAAGACGCAGAGCAGAGGACGAGACGAUUCGGAGGAGCCAGAGUUAACCACGCCGACAACGAUCCAAGCAUCUUUGCUAUUUACCAUUUCCAGGUUGAUUGGUAAUGCAUGCCAAUUACUAUUUGUAGGUUAGGUACUUUCACUAUUUGUAAUAGAAAUGGUAAGAGUUUUAAGCAGGAGGUGGAGCUACUUUUUGUUUGUCAGUUUAAAUUUUACUAAUUUGUAACUGAACUUGAAGCUGCUGUAUCAGGUGACAGCUGGUGAGCAGGAUCGACAAUGGAUUGAUUAGUGUCACCAUCCUUUGGUUCUGAAGCAAUUCUUGAGGCGUCUCCGACCAGAACAAUAUGGUGCCUACCAAGUAUUGUCUACCGAGAUGCCAUGUUACUAGACAAAUAUAACACUAGGAUUAUCUCCAGUCAUGGGUUGCAGCUUCUACCAUGACCCACUGAACAAAAAUUAGCCAUGUUACUAGGCAAGUAUAAACACUGGGAUUAUCUCCAGUCAUGUGUUGCAGCUUCUACCAUGUUCCAGUGAACCAAAAUGAGCACAAUCAUUAAUUGAUGAUACUUUCAUAGAUCAAUAAUUUAUGUCCUUGGUUCUGCACUGAUUUAGUCAUAUUCUUUUUUAUCCCGAAUCUCCAUCAUCGAUUAUUUGUUCAAAUAUUUAUUGCAUUUAUGGAAAAAAACACUCCAUUUUAAUUCUAUUAACCAUAGAUUAAUCCACUUCAAUUAGUAACAACAUCCCAAGCUGAAACUACUGCGGUCUGGUCUGGGACUAGAGUCCCAUUUUUUGUCCACAAUGGAUUCAUUGAUUAUUACUUAUGUUCCACAGUUUCAGUUCAUAUGUGAGGACUGCCCUACGCUCAAGCAACGAGUUACGGCAUGGAUGGAGUGUAGGACGAAGUUCAGGUAAUUAUUUGGCAAUGCAAAAUGAGUACGUUUGUUAUGUUGAUCUGGCUUCCAUUUCUCACAUUGAUGUCUUUGACAACAUAUUUAGGCGCUGCAUGAAUAUAGAAGUGAUGGUCGGAGUAAUUGUGUGGAGAAAUAGAGUUGCAUUGAUUUUUCUGUGUCCAAACCCUCUUAUAACAUUUGGUGAUAUUUUAGGAUGCUGGGUAAAAUUGGAGCUCUCAUUAGUUCCGUGUUUUAGAAUUGAUAUUUAUAAUAUGCAUAGUUCUUUCUACAUUUAAAUUGGGAUGUGACAUAUAUAUACAAAAUCAUGUCUUCUUCACGAGACGUGCAUUGCACGUGCAUGCUUACUUAUGUAUACAAAAUCUUGUUCUACUACUUAUAAGUCAUAACUCGAUUUCAGGCUGUAUCUUCCUUUGUUUCACAACAGUUUACAUUGCUUCUUUUGUUUCCAUUUAUUAGGUUGAUGUACUAUUCUCUUCUUUAUAUAUUUAUACAAGGAGUUCUCCUCCAUGUUCUCAGAAAAACGGAAACGAGUUUUAGCUGCAUUCGAGAAUUGCAUUUUAAAGUAAACUUUCAGCCAUUAUUUUUAACCAGAAAUUCAGUGAUCUCUAUGCAAACAAUUCUCAGUUUUUAAUAAUCUUGCAGGACAUCAGAGAACAGAUGACACAUUGGUCACAUCCCCAGUAAAUGUGUCAAUCAUACUAAACCGUCGAUGGUUUCUAAUUUCCAAUAUUGAAAAAUGCUACUAUAUCUCAAAAGAUGGUUUCAAAACAGAGAGUUGUGGUUUUGAUGCUAUCUGUAAAGGUAAUUCAUAUAUAUCAUAAGUUUAUUAACAUACUUACUUCAUAUGAACAUUAUUCUUUUACUUCGUUAAUAUAUAGGCCAAUAUGUUCGCACCAUACCCUCAGGGCCAUUACCUUGACUGCCCAUUCUAGAUAAUUAAGCUCCAAGGCACUUGGUCAAUCUUAUUGGGACGCAUUGGUACUUACUUUCUGAUGAAGUCGAAUCUACUAUUUUAUUUUAUUUUAUUUUGGAAGCGCUAACCUAAUCUCCUGACAACUGUAAAAAACAAAUUGCAAGUACAUGUGAUGCACAUUGCCACUAUACUAGAGGAAAACUGGGCAAAGUUAAAUGUUGCUGCUUCUUUUUGGCAAAAUAAUGACCAAAACUGUAUUGUUUUCAGUGAUCACAAUCACAAAGAGAUGCCACUCUGAACAUCUGAACAUCUGAACAUCUAGAGAUGCCACGACGUGGUGGAACCCGAUGUCCAAGGGUGCAUAAUCAGUCUCCGGCUUGUGAGUUCGUCCUUGUUUCUCGCA